rnacentral:rRNA from 1 species
GAUGAACGCUGGCGGCGUGCCUAAUACACGCAAGUCGAGCGAACAGACGAGGAGCUUGCUCCUCUGACGUUAGCGGCGGACGGGUGAGUAACACGUGGAUAACCUACCUAUAAGACUGGGAUAACUUCGGGAAACCGGAGCUAAUACCGGAUAAUAUAUUGAACCGCAUGGUUCAAUGGUGAAAGACGGUUUUGCUGUCACUUAUAGAUGGAUCCGCGCCGCAUUAGCUAGUUGGUAAGGUAACGGCUUACCAAGGCAACGAUGCGUAGCCGACCUGAGAGGGUGAUCGGCCACACUGGAACUGAGACACGGUCCAGACUCCUACGGGAGGCAGCAGUAGGGAAUCUUCCGCAAUGGGCGAAAGCCUGACGGAGCAACGCCGCGUGAGUGAUGAAGGUCUUCGGAUCGUAAAACUCUGUUAUUAGGGAAGAACAAAUGUGUAAGUAACUAUGCACGUCUUGACGGUACCUAAUCAGAAAGCCACGGCUAACUACGUG